AUACCAUGAUGAGGACACAUUCUGAGCAAUUCCUUGAAUCUUUCUUAAGCCUUGUACAAACUUUCAUCUUCCAGUUGGUGGAAAGAAGUAAUCUCCUUCCGCAACUU
rfam:Citrus clementina cultivar Clemenules unplaced genomic scaffold scaffold_2, whole genome shotgun sequence.